CUCAUAAUAGCACUCUGCGUAAGGGGUUCAAUAUUGUUUUCGCUGCGAUCUAAAUUUAUGUGAACUGUUUCGGUUUUAAGUACAGCAGGCGCCUUUUCUUCAGUAUUACUCAUUAUUUACUUAAAUCAAAGUAAAAUAGUAAUCACGUUUGAAAUAAUAUCACAACAAAAAAGUGACGAAUCGCAGGUGUCUAUCAAAUUUCAACUUAUUUUGGAAUUCAAUUAAUGAAUUCCAUUCUAUUAUUGAAUUUCAAUAAGACAGAUCACACUCUAGAGUCUAGACGUCAGUCACGAGUCAACAGGUUAUAUUAUACGUUAUAUGGAAAUGGAAUAUUAUGCAAUAACAGUAAAAUAUUUACAUAUUGUCAGAAGCUUUCCCACGACCCGGCCUCUCUAGUCAGUGACGUCGUGCGAUGGAGCGCGGAGGGCGGAAUAACGCCGCGUGGGCCGCGAUGCAUCAUGCGGUUGCAUCGCUCUCUUUGCUUUGAGCUCUAGGCUGCGAGUGACGUACAGUAGUGCUAAUAGGACGCGUAUUUGAAAUUGAGUUGAUAAACAUUUAGUUGAUUUAAAUAAAUCAAUCUUGUAAAAUUA